rnacentral:rRNA from 1 species
UACAGAGGAUGCAAGCGUUAUCCGGAAUGAUUGGGCGUAAAGCGUCUGUAGGUGGCUUUUUAAGUCCGCUGUGAAAGUCGGGGGCUCAACCCUCGAAUGCCGGUGGAUACUGUCGGGCUCGAGUGCGGAAGAGGCGAGUGGAAUUCCUGGUGUAGCGGUGAAAUGCGCAGAUAUCAGGAGGAACACCGAUUGCGAAGGCAGCUCGCUGGGACGUUACUGACGCUGAGACGCGAAAGCGUGGGGAGCAAACAGG